ACAGGGCAGGGCCGGCGCUGCCGGGGUCAGAAGUGUCUGGGCCACUCCAGAGCCUGCACUCUCGAGGUCGAGAGGGAACCCGACAGAACCGGAUUGGAACACGGUCUCCAGCCCUUGCCCGCUGUGCGCACCUGGGCAAAUCCCUCCAGUUCUGUAAGCCGCAGCCUCUCCGGAGAACGGACACGAUUGCGCCCACCUUGCUGCGAGGCUGGAAAUGCGGGCGGGGUCUGGCACGGAGUCAGGGAUACUCACUGAGCACCUUCCAGAUGGCAGAACUGAGCUGAUGGUGGAUCUGUCAGUGAACAGAUAACACAUAAAAGUAGGAGACCACGUUGGGUGAUAGUACUGCCGAGAGUCUCGAGCGUGCAGUUGCGUGAUGCCUCCAGAUAUUGGAGCAGAGGCCACACUCUUCCCAGCAGCCACUGCAUCAAUGACUGCACCCCCAAGGGGGUUCUGGGGGUGCAGAACAACAGCCUUUGCUCCAGAGCUUGCCAUGGGUCGGCCGAGACCGUGAAGUCAGAUCUGCACAACCGGCUGAGGCUCCACCUGCCCAGGCUGGCUCCUCCAAGUUUUAUUUUUAGCACGUGUUACCUCCCAAUAAACUCUUGCAUUCCUAA